rnacentral:lncRNA from 1 species
CGGCGGAACUGCAGAGGUAAACUUUAUGUAAAUGCCACAAAGUAAUAGACUUGUAGUGCAAAUCACACCAUUUUAUCUUUAAUUUUGCCGAGCCGCCCCUUCCCGGCAUCCUCUCGGCAUCUCCACGGCACGUCCCAUCUCUCCCUCCCCCAAAGUCCUCUUUCCGUGGGCUUAAAGGUGCAUCGGAGAUAUGCAUUUAAGCAUAUUCAGAACACGGGUGACGGGAAGGUGGUCCGGAGGAGGGGAGCAGAAGCGGCGGAACUGCAGAGAAUCGUCCUUCAGCGACUGUCCCGCUCAGUUUGUUUGGAGUCGAACUGUCGCCCAUCUCACGCUGUGAGUGAGUGUGUCUUUCCAAUUUUCAUCAUGUGA